CUUCCCCUCAUGGUCAUUGGGCUAAAGCUUUAACCCAGAAAUAUGCUAUCGGCACUUAAUAUGAAUAGCUCUUUCAUUUGGAAAGCUAUACUACAAUGGGUGGGAGAUUCGUAAUAAAUGCAUUCGAUGGCAGCCUUCUCUUACCUCGAAUCUUGACAUGUGGUAUUUAAAAUGGGUCCCCAAUAUUGAAGCCCUUAGAUACUGUAUUCAAGGACCACUAACCAAAGCUGACCUAAAUAAGAAAAUCAGACAUCUUUGUGCUACUGGUGAUUGGAACCUUGAUAAUCUAUCCUUUGAGUUACCUCUUGAUGUACUACACCAUAUUCGAACCAUUGCCCUUCCCCUUGUUGUUCAUGGUCCAGACGUACCCUUUUGGUCACCCAAUAACACUGUUACCAAAUUCUCUACUGCAUCUUGUUACCAAUAUAUUGAGCACCUCGAAUCUUCUCCUCCAGAUUUUAAAUGGAUUUGGAACCUCAAGUCUCCCACAAAAAUUAAAUUCCUCCUCUGGCUAUGCUAUCAUAAUAGAAUCCUCAGCCGAGAAUAUCUUCAUCUUGUUGGGAUUAACAUUGACACCCAAUGCCCUGUAUGCCAGUCCUCUACUGAGUCCUCCCUUCAUAUUUUCCUACUUUGCCCUAGCACUAAAAAACUUUGGAAUAGUUUUGGCAUCACUCUAAAUCACUAAAUUUCUCCUCCACUCAACACUGGCUCGAUCUCAUUCGAUUCAGCUCCCCUUUCUUACCCCAUUACAUCUCCAAGUGGGAGGCCCUUCAUUGUUUGGAAAAUCUAGAUUACUAGGAAUAAUAACAACCACAACAACAUUUCCUCCCCCAACAAAUCUCAAUACUUGUAUCUAUAGAGCUAUCGAGUACCGUCUUUUGACCCAAAAUGGACCUCUCUAUAACCCCAAGUGAUCCAUACUCAUCAAAUGGCACCCUCCUUCUCCUUCCUGGUAUAAACUGACCACAGAUGGGCCUUUUUCCCCUUUCCCACAAAUAGGAGGUAUCGGAGGAGUAUUUCAAGACUCCACAGGAAAUUGCAUUGCAGGUUUCCAAGGCGCAAUAUAUGCACUCUCCUCUACAGGCAGAACUUCUUGUGCUCCAAGAAGGUCUUCAAUUGGCUUGGGAUAGCUGGUUAAUGCUUCAGGGCGGAAGCUGGUGCUGCAACGUAAUUUCAGACAAGGAAUCAGGAGGCACAUAUGCUGGCUAAGGAAGCUUCAAAAAAGUUCGCCACCAAAGCUGUUCAUCGUUUUGUUAUCCCCCGUACUUUGUUUUGCAAUCCCUAGAUAGUGAUAGGACUAGUAAUAUGGUAGCCAGGAAAGAACUAGAUGAAAAAAACUGUAAUAUGUUAGCUUGUUUGGAAACCAAUGUGUCCUAAGUGGCACCAAUUUUGCUUGGAAUAUUUUAACUCUGCAG